UGGUUGUUGACAUAUUUCGACUUCGUUGUGAUUUGGAUUUGGGUCACAUAAAUGCGCACCCGAAUUUAGGAAGGUAAAUCAUUAAAAAACGUACCUAAAGAGACUAUCGCGUUAUUAUACUUGGGGAAGGCCGUGAAAUUCACUAAACGGCCCAUCCCGAAGUCUAAAUAUUUUUAGUAUAAACAUUUAUCGAGGGCCCUGCCAUUUAUUUAUUUUGUUUAGCGAGGCUCAUCUCGUUUUAUUAAUAAAAGACAAACUUAAAGCAAUCUAUAAUUUUCUAUUUUAAUUUGUCUUUAAAAAUAAAAGAAAAAGUACUAAUUAAUCAUUGUCUAAAAUUAUCACGAAUUUUGACCCUUAACCAGAUCGGGCCUUGAACAUAACUUAUUUAGAGAAAUCGUUAUACCCAUAUGCAUAAAGACAAAACAGAACAAGCUUGGCCCAGGUCCAAGCGUGAAAGAAAUUAGAAUCGGACCUGGGCCUUCGUAUCAAAGCCUGAAUCCCAGACAUCUUGAGAAUAGGCUGUUGGGCCUUAGUCUUUUAAACUAAAUUUAAUUGCAACAACCAGCAAAUGAUGUUUUCUAUCUAACUUCAAAUAUUAUUCGAACUAACAGCUUUAAUUUCACAAUUACACUUUCCUUUUCUUUAAAUCGAUGCAGUACUUCUUUAACUAGCAAUUAGUGUAAGAAUUAACACUCAGAACUGGUCGACCAUAAUCCAGAUAAUCACAUUACGGUCCAGAUUAGUUUAACAAUCUAAUAAGCUCAUUUUGAAUUAUGGAAAUCAAACAGUGGGUGAUAAUUUGCAAAUUAUCAUAAGCUAUAGCCAAUAUCCACUACACAGCCCAGUUCAAGUUGGAUAUGAGUUUAAACUACACUAUUCUAAUAACAUGAACUAACAAAGAUAAAAACUACUAACUAUGAAACUCACACAUGAAUGCAUCUAAUGGUUUAACAGUCCAAAGCAUCACUUAUACAGUCCAUGCUUACCUAUUGUUCUUAUAAUGCAAAACAAGUGACUAAGCAUCAACUACAUUCACUAACAACUCGAAUUAUAAACAAUAGACAACAUCCAAAUGAGCUCAAAUCUGGUGAGCAAUUUCAAAUUUGACUUCAACUCAAAGUUACAUCGAAGUAAUUCACAGAAGUGUACCUGGAAGUGGAAAACAAUGAAGAAGAAGAGAAGAUCAACAACGAGUAACAAACAACUAGUACCCAGUAGUCAUAAACAGCAACCUAAACACAGUUGAUCUCAGCCCAGAAAUAACCCAAUGAUCCCAAAAGUAUUUUUAAACCAAACGAAACUGAAUAUCAGCUUCUAAACAACACCAAAUGGUCCAGAAAUGAACACAGGAGGUCAAUACUCAAGAACCACAGUUGGCUCAAAUUAGCCAAAUCCAAUACCUAGAAGACUCGAACUGCUUUAAAAUACCAAAUAUCGAACAGAAUAAGGAAAUUCAAAUAGCUUUUAUCCUAAACGAGCUAGAAACUAGAAGUAAAUGAUGGAAUCUAAUGUAACAGUCCUUUUUUUUUUGCUAUAUUUUCUUUUGUUUUUGGUGUUUUCUUUUGAAAAUGCUAAGAUCCGAGGAGAUUUUGAUAUGAAAUUUUGAAUUUUAGAUCUGUUCAGCUUGAAGAUAUUUUGGGAGGAAUUUGAGGGUUGAAAAUUUGUGAAUAAAGUAAAGGUCAUGCCCUCUUGUAGGUACAAAUGAGGCCUAUCAGAUUUUCAGUUUUUCCUUUUAGUCCUUAUUCACUUUCAGCUUUACUCCCCUAUUUAUUAACUUGUUACACAAGUUAGCACCCACAACUUCUUAAAAUUAAAAUUAAGUUCCUAUUCUAGCAUAUUCUAGGGUGUUCUAAUCAGUUACUACAAUAUUUUUAUUGUUAAAAAUGCCUAAACUACCUCUUAUCUAUCUGAAAUUACUCAAACUGUCCCCAUCCACUUCAACUCAAUUAAUAAAUUUCAAUAGCUCUAAGAUUAAAUCCCAAAUGAAAUUAUUCUGAAAAUUACCUUAAUUCACACUACUUGUUAAUUAUCCAUCAAUUAACAACCGACUAAAUCAUUUUUAACCUAAACUAAACUAUACAGUCAAAGAACAAGAAUGGACAUUUAGACUAAAUAAUCCGCGGACAUUAACAGAAUUAAUCACAACUAAGAACAUACUCACAUUAACAAAACUAAACAAAAUAACAACAUCAAUCAGUCAUGAAAGUUAAUCUCAGGAGAAAAGAAAUUACUGAAUUAGGAUGAACAAAUAGCCGACUGAUAACACAAAAAAUUAUAAGUGAAAAAUAAAACAAAGGAGUUCAAAUAAAUGAAUAAGAGGGUAAACUUGUAAGAACAAAAUAAAAAUAAGAAAAACUCACUGGAAAAUUUCAGAUUCAAAAUUCGGCUGAUUCCGAUGAGGUUCGAGGGCCAAUAGUAUUGAAUUCAUCAUGAGGGAAGCGGGGAAGCCCUGUGGUAUUAAUUUGGUAAGAAUUGGAGAAAUUACGAUUUUGGCCGGAAAGUUUAAAAUUAAUAUUCGAACGGUUCCGGCCAUAUUCAAGGGGUGAUUACUAGGUCAUUGGAAAGAGGGAACGAAGGAGAUUCACCGGUGUAAUUUAGGGUGAUUUAGAUGAGGUUGUGUCAUGGCCGGGAAAACUUCGAUCUAAUAUUCAAAGCUUUCGGGUAGGAUUCGAGGGAAGUGGGUGAUGGAUGCGAAUAGAGGAAGAGAAUAGGCGUACAUGAUGUUAAUUUGGGUUAAUUUGGCGACGGGCCGCCGUCGUGGGCAAUUUCUGGCGGCGGUCAAUGAUGGUGUUACCCGGGGAUGUAAAUGGGUGUGUUUGGGACGAUGAAAUGGGGUGAGGAGGUAUAAUCCGACCAUUAAAUACUCUUAAG
rnacentral:lncRNA from 1 species